GAGUUUGAUCCUGGCUCAGGACGAACGCUGGCGGCGUGCCUAAUACAUGCAAGUCGAGCGAGCUUGCCUAGAUGAUUUUAGUGCUUGCACUAAAUGAAACUAGAUACAAGCGAGCGGCGGACGGGUGAGUAACACGUGGGUAACCUGCCCAAGAGACUGGGAUAACACCUGGAAACAGAUGCUAAUACCGGAUAACAACACUAGACGCAUGUCUAGAGUUUGAAAGAUGGUUCUGCUAUCACUCUUGGAUGGACCUGCGGUGCAUUAGCUAGUUGGUAAGGUAACGGCUUACCAAGGCAAUGAUGCAUAGCCGAGUUGAGAGACUGAUCGGCCACAUUGGGACUGAGACACGGCCCAAACUCCUACGGGAGGCAGCAGUAGGGAAUCUUCCACAAUGGACGAAAGUCUGAUGGAGCAACGCCGCGUGAGUGAAGAAGGGUUUCGGCUCGUAAAGCUCUGUUGGUAGUGAAGAAAGAUAGAGGUAGCAACUGGCCUUUAUUUGACGGUAAUUACUUAGAAAGUCACGGCUAACUACGUGCCAGCAGCCGCGGUAAUACGUAGGUGGCAAGCGUUGUCCGGAUUUAUUGGGCGUAAAGCGAGUGCAGGCGGUUCAAUAAGUCUGAUGUGAAAGCCUUCGGCUCAACCGGAGAAUUGCAUCAGAAACUGUUGGACUUGAGCGCAGAAGAGGAGAGUGGAACUCCAUGUGUAGCGGUGAAAUGCGUAGA
rnacentral:rRNA from 1 species